rnacentral:lncRNA from 1 species
CCACAUUGAGGAUUCUCCAGUCACACUGAGAAGACGCAGCAGUUUGAGGCCUGGUGAAGAGCUCGUGCGUGGAUCAGCCCUUUCAACCCAAGCUAGAGAGUUCCCAUCAAGAUCUUGGAUGAUGACAGCUCAUUGGGAUUUUCUUUAACAAUGGAUGAAAGCUCACAGAGAACUUGGUAGCAACAUUUGCAUCAUCCCAGCAAUACUAACGUUCCUGUUGCAUAUGGAGAGCCUUCAUCCAGUAACUGAUGGAAGCAGAUGCAGAGACCCACAGAGAUCAAACAAUCCUGCUGAAGAGAGGAAGGAAGGAUUGUAGGAGCCAGAGUUGUCAAGGACAUCACAAGAAAACCCGCAGAAACAACUAACCUGCCUCAUAGGAGCUCACAG